AGAGAGGGAAAGAAAGGAAGAACAAACCCUAGGUGAGGAAUUUCAAGAGAAAAAGUGUGAAAAAUCAAGGAAAACAAGUGAAAAAGGUAGGAUUUUUCAACUUAAGCUUGAAAUCUAUUUUCCUUAAGCAUUUCUCCUUAUUUUCCAUGCUUAAAUUACAUGUUUUUAUAAUGAAUUGUUGGCUGAUCAAAAUGGGUUAGGAGAGAAAAAGUUGUUAGAUUAAUUUGAUUUUAAGUUAUGUUAGUGUUUUGAGUUAGUUUAGCAUAUAUAGAAACAAAACAAUAAGAAAAGAAUUUAUUUUCUCCCACAACCAUUAAUGGCCGAAUUUACCAUGUAUGAGUGAGGAUGAGUUUGAUUUUUAUUCUAGGAGAAUUGGUUAAGAAAUGAUGAAUUAUGAGCCUAGAAAAAUAAUGGGAAUUUUCGGAACAAAAAUACGAAUUUUUACCCACUAGGGGUAUUUUCGUAAUUUACUGUCGAGACUGAUAAUUUGCGCCACACUGAGGAACAUUAAGUCAAUUUGGGUGAAAUUGAGGUAUAGAAACUGAAAAAAAUUAAUUUGGGAUUAAAUUGGACGCGUUAGUAAUUUAAUCGGGUGAUAAGACGAAUUAGGCCAAUACCGAGUUUAGAUAGUUAUCAAUGCAUUUUUGCAUUCCAUAUUAUGCAUUAAUAGUCUAAAUUAGUUUAAUUUCAAUUUAGUACCAAUGUAGUGAAUUUCUCAAUUUUGUACUGUGUCAAGGUGGUGAGUCCUCCGAUAAAGGUAAGGAAAUUGCAUCCGAGGACCAGUAGACAGAGUGCGUCGAAAGUCUGCAUUCUAGACAUUGUGAGUAAACUUACUGUCAUUUUAAUUAUCUAGGGUAGUUUUUAGGGGAUUUCAUGAAUUCUAUGGAAAAUGGAAUUUAAAAAGGUAAAUUUUCAUGUUUUAUGAAUAAAUGUGUUUCAAUGAAAUUAAAUUAUAAAUUGUUUUGAAAUUAAUAAUGAUUUUGAAAAAUAGAGUACACGGAGACUAUUAAUUGUGGCAAUUUGAUUGUUUAAAUUGAUUGGCUUAUGAUAAAUCGGGCAUGAUUGGCUAGUUGGCAAUUGUAUUGAAAUACAAAUUGUUUGGUUAUCUUGAAAGAUUGCGAAUUACAAAAUUGCCAUCUCAUGUUAUUGAGUUUUAUUGUAUGGUGGAUUAUAUAUUAAUUAAUCACUGCAAUAGGGAGUUUCUGUGGAUCAGCCUUUUAGAGGGGUAUAGUAAACCCCAUUAUAUUCUUACCUCGAAUGGAGAGGCGUGUAAGGUAUCUCCUAGGGUAAAGUUUAGAGUUCACUUCACGCUAAACCACCACGUGAGGGGGAACUCAGCCAACGCCAAGGAACGGCUAUGUUUUCAAAACAAAAACAUGAUUUAUGUGAAAUGUGAAUUUUAAUAGCCUUGGCGGUCUCGAUAAGAUGCCUAGGCCAAGGUGUCCCUGAGAAUGGAUUUAUGGCACAAGUCUAGUUUUUAUGAAAUUCAUAAGCCUCUUUACAUAUUUUAAAUGAAAUGUAUUCUAAUGCUAUGACCCAGUUUACGAUGAUUUAUUUUAUUAUCUCCAUGUACUCAACUCUAGAUAUUUAUGAUGAUGUAUGUUUACUCAUUGGGAUUUUAUAAUCUCACCACCCUCCUUUCCACCCAUUUCAGGUUCAGUAUAGGCUGUAGAUAGCUGAUCUCAUCGAGGACUACCGUUGGAUCUGCAUUUUCCAAACCGUAAGUUCACAGUCCUCUUUACUUUUGUUUAUUCGGGGGUCCUCUUGUUAUUGUAAAUUAAAUUAAAUAUUUUGGCUUACUGUAUUUCAGUAUGUANAUUUUGUACUGUGUCAAGGUGGUGAGUCAUCCGAUAAAGGCAAGGAAAUUGCAUCCGAGGACUAGUAGACAGAGUGCUUCGAAAGUCUGCAUUCUAGACAUUGUGAGUAAACUUACUGUCAUUUUAAUUAUCUAUGGUGGUUUUUAGAUGAUUUCAUGAAUUCUAUGGAAAAAGAAAUUUAAAAAGGUAAAUUUUCAUGUUUUAUGAAUAAAUGUGUUUCAAUAAAAUUAUAUUAUAAAGUGUUUUGAAAUUAAUAGUGAUUUUGAAAAAUAGAGUACACGGAGACUGUUGAUUGUGGCAUUUUGAUUGUUUAAAUUGAUUGGCUUAUGAUAAAUCGGGGCAUGAUUGGCUAGUUGGCAAUUGUAUUGAAAUGCGAAUUGUUUGAUUUCCUUGAAAGACUAUGAAUUACAAAAUUGCCAUAUCAUGUUAUUGAGUUUUAUUGUAUGGUUGAUUAUAUAUAUUAAUUAAUCACUACAGUAGGGGGUUUCUGUGGACCAGCUUUUUAGAGGGGCACGGUAAACCCCAUUAUAUUCUUACCUCGAACAGAGAGGCGCGUAGGGUAUCUCCUGGGGUAAAGCUUAGGGUUCACUUCACGUCAAACCACCACGUGAAGGGGAACUCAGCCAACGUCGAAGAACGGCUAUGUUUUCAAAACAAAAACAUGAUUUAUGUGAAAUGUGAAUUUUAAUAGCCUUGGCGGUCUCAGUAGGAUGCCUAGGCCAAGGUGUCCCUGAGCAUGGAUUUAUGGCACAAGUCUAGUUUUUAUGAAAUUCAUAAGCCUCUUUACAUAUUUUAAAUGAAAUGUAUUCUUAUGCUGUGACCCAGUUUACGAUGAUUUAUUUUAUUGUCUCCAUGCACUCAACUCUAGAUAUUUAUGAUGAUGUCUGUUUACUCAUUGGGAUUUUAUAAUCUCACCACCCUCUUUUCCACCCAUUUCAGGUUCAGUAUAGGCUGUAGAUAGCUGAUCUCAUCUAGGACUACCGUUGGAUCUGCAUUUUCCAAACCGUAGGUUCAUAGUCCUCUUUACUUUUGUUUAUUCGGGGGCCCUCUUGUUAUUGUAAAUUAAAUUAAAU
rnacentral:lncRNA from 1 species